GGGGAAAUAGAGUUGAUGUGUAAAUUUAAAAAAUUAAAAUUAUACAGUAAAAUGACUAUAGUAUCUAGUUCCAUCCAUUUGCCUAUGAAUUUCAAGAUUCCAUUGUUUUUUUUCUACUGAGUAGUACUCCAUUGUGUAAAUGUACCACAAUUUCUCUAUCCAUUCUUCUGUUGAAGGGCAUCUAGGUUGCUUCUAGGUUCUGGCUGUUACAAAUAAUGACACUACCGAGUUCCAGAGUUCAGUUAAGUGUUUAGCUAUGGGCUUCUGCCUCUGCUUCCAUCAGCCACUGGAUGAAGUCUCUAGGAUGGCAUAUAACGUAGUCAUCUAGUCAUCAGUCUCAUUAUAAGGGAAAGGCAUUUAAAGUAGCCUCUCUACUAUUGCUUAGAUUGUCAGAUGGUGUCAUCCUUGUAGCACUCUGGACAUUUCCCUAGUGCCAGAUCUCUUCCUCGAACGUAUAAUGACUCUCUCUGUUAUGGUAUCUCUCAUUCUGCUAUCCUCUAUUCUUCCCCCGACUCAAACUUCCUGCACCCCCAUUUCCUCCUCCCCCAUUCUCUCCCCCUCUUCUUCUCCCACCUUCCUCUUUCCUACCAUCAUGCACCCAAUUAGCCCAGAAGAUCCUGUCCCCUUCCCAUUCUCCAGGGACCAUGUCUUCUACUCUUGGAGUCCUCCUGGUUUCCUAGUUCCUUUGGUGAUGUAGAUUAUAUGUAGGCUGGUAAUCUUUUGCUUUUUGUCUAAAAUUCAUAUAUGAAUGAGUACAUACCAUGUUUGCCUUUUUGUGACUAGGUUGGCUCACUCAGGAUGGUUUCCUUUAGUUCCAUAAAUUUGUCAGCAACUCUCAAGUUAAGUGUGAGGAGGAAUCUCAAGAUUCCAUUGCUUUUUUCCACUGAGUAGUACACAAUUGUGUAAAUGUACCACAUUUUCUCUAUCCAUUCUUCAGUUGAGGGGCAUCUAGGUUGCUUCCAGGUUCUGGCUAUUACAAAUAAUCCUGCUAUGAAUAUAGUUGAACAUAUGUCCUAGUUGUAUGAAUGUGCAUUCUUUGGGUAUAUGCACAGGAGUGGAAUUGCUGUAUCUUGAGGUACACUGAUACCCAUUUUCCUGAGACAUGACCAUGCUGAUUUCCAAAGUGGUCUUACAAGUAUGAACUCCCACCAGCAAUAAAGGAGUGUUCCUCUUUCUCCACAUCCUCUCCAGAAAAGACUGUCAAUGGUGUUUUUUGAUUUUAGCCAUUCAGACUGGUGUAAGAUGAUAUCUCAGAGUUGUUUUGAGUUGCAUUUCCCUGAUGGCUAAGAAUUUUGAGUACUUUCUUAAGUGUCUUUCAUCCAUUUUAGAUUCCUCUGUUGAGAAUUCUCUGUUUACAUUUGCGCCUCACUUUUUAAUUUCAUUAACUGGUGUUUUGGUGGCUAGCUUCUUGAGUUCAUUGAUUUUGAUGUGGAUUGCUUUGAAGAGGUCAAGACCAGGUGAAACCCACAAAAUCAACUGACCUGAAUAAGGGGGAGCACAUGGACCCCAGACUGAUAUCUGGAAGGCCAGCAUGGGACUGAUCCAGACCCCUGAACAUGGAUGUCAAUGAGGAGACCUAGGUUAGAAUAACAAAGGGCUCCUCACACUUCAGGCGGGAAUGGUUAGAAUAACAAAGGGCUCCUCACACUUAAGGCGGGAGUGGUAAGCAUGGACUCUUAUGCUGUUGUGCAGGUACCUCUUUUCUAUGACUGUUUUAUGUAUCCUUGGGAUCAAAGACUC
ensembl:lncRNA